UCACCUGUGAUUAUUUCAUGAAAAAACUUUCAGCGAUUGUAUUUAAUAAUAAUCUAAUAAUAAUAAUUACUUAGUUUUGACUUAUAUGUAUCAUUCUUGAGGGAUGCAAUCAGUGAAAGAAGUCUUGAACAUACAAUUACAACAUCGUCAGUUCUAAGCAUUUAAAACAGUGAAAUAAUUAGACACUAAGAAGCAAACACAAAGUAUACAUGCAUCCAGUCCUCAGAAAGGUUCAAAAAGAUGAAAAGGUUGCGGAGACCAAAAACACUGCAAACCAUCCACAUUUCAAAUUAUACUCUCAACAUUUUUUCAACAAGAACUGAUUGUGAAUGAUAUUAGUGUAUUAGUUGUUUUUGCCAACAUUGAUGCGAUCUAUAGAUAUUGUGAAGAGUUAACUUCAGUAGAGCUGGUUAGAGUAGAUGCCACAUAUAAAACUGUUCCUCAAGUGCCAGGGGACUUACGAUCUUUCCUAACAUUUCAAGUACUCUACAAUGAUGUUGCAUUUCCAAUAGUCUAUGCCCUUUUGAGGAGUGAAACACAAGAAACUUACUCUUCAUUAUUAACAGUAAUACACAAUAUUUUACCUCUUCGUUUAAAUAGAAUCAGUUUUGUCACUGAUUAUGAACGAGCUUUUAUAAAUGCUAUCAGGGAAGUAUUUCUAAAUAGUCAAUUAGUAUGUUGUUGGUUUCAUUAUACAAAGAAAAGCUGAUUGUUGAUUGUUGUUAAGAAUCAGUUCUUUAUAGAAUUUCAACAGUGCAAAGAUGGCUUUAAAGUUAGAAAUUAAAUGUGCAAAAAAGAGAAGGAAAAUACAUCUAUAAUGAUAAGAGAAUGCGUACAGCAGCUGAAUCAAGACGAUGACUUAUUGAUGUUUUUGAGGAGAACUGGUCACCGCAAUGAUGGUUAUGUUCAACGACAAAUCCGGGCAUAUCCUAAUAUAUUAUAAAAUAUUACAAUCUUAUUGUUUUUAUUUAUUGUAAACUAAUUUUAUUAUUGUUUUUUUACC